CAGAAGAGCUACUUGAAGUAGGACUAACAGGAACCAACUCAUGAUGCAAUUUAACAUGGAUUGGGCAGCCUACAGUCCAAAGGCAGGGGCCAUAAAAAGCUGAGGCUCUGGACUUGAGAGACGUGCGGCAAUGAAGACACUUCACCUUCUGUCAUUCUGCCUGCUCAUGGUGGCAAACGAGACAAGGAAGUUUGAGGAUUGUGAAUUGUUUUAUAAGCUGAGAGAUCUUGGGCUGGAUGGCUUUCGCGGUAUUGACGUAAAACAAUGAAAGAAAGGACACUCGGAGUCCCUGGUUUUUAUACUUUGCUUCCCUACCAGAUGUCUGUAUGGCUGGAUUCCCAGCUAAUUACAACACUGAAUACUACGAGACAGAAGAGGGUGUCCCACACUACGGGCUAUUCCAUCUGAGCGGCCAGGAAUGGUGCUUUAAUGAGAGGCGGCCCUCACAGAACAAAUGCAACAUUUCCUGUGAUUAUCUCCUCGAUGAUGAUAUUGCAGAUGAUGUAAGGUGCCUUAAGAAGGUUAUCACCAAGAAAGGGCUGGAAUAUUGGUGAGUGACAUCAGCUUUCCUGCUUUAUCAGAAUGAGCAGCUGGGGAAAAUGAUGUAAUCAAGUCAAAGCAGAAAACAAAAAACUGUUUUUAAAGGCCCUUUAUUAAGGGAUGAAAGUAAGAGACGCAAAUCAUUCUUUUUGUAGUA